UACGUAGGCAGCAAGCGUUGUUCGGAAUUACUGGGCGUAAAGAGUGUGUAGGCGGUGUUCUAAGUCUGUUGUGAAAUCUCCCGGCUUAACUGGGAGGGUGCGGCGGAAACUGGAUGCUAGAGGAUGGGAGAGGUAAGCGGGAAUUCCUGGUGGUAGCGGUGAAAUGCGUAGAUAUCAGGAGGAACACCUGUGGUGUAGACAGCUUACUGGACCAUUUCUGACGCUGAGACACGAAAGCGUGGGUAGCAAACAGG
rnacentral:rRNA from 1 species